AGGAAAAUGUGUUACUAUUGAGAAUAUCUCUAGCCUCCAACAGAAAUCCUAUCAACUAUUUUCUUGAUAGUCAAAUGACAACACUCCAUUUGCCACCUGUGACAAAUGAGAUUUCUAAUAUCAUUUGAGGAAAGAAGACCUUAAUCACAGAGAACGUUCAACCUGGUAAUCUAUAGUCAUAACAUAGAUACUUGGCAGGCCCUUUUUGAAUGUAAUAAUGAAAUCACAACUUAAAUAAACUCGAUCCAAUUUCCCAAAGAACCUUAAGGAAUCAUGAUUAGCUAUGAUAAGAGAUCCACUUCCACAAGACCAUCACAGCAGGACGAGAGGACAACAGAGAUCCUGUAAAGAACCCUUGGUGUUCAUACAA